GUGCUCACUUUGGCAGCACAUAUACUGAAAUUAAAAUGAUACAGAGAAGAAGAGCAUGGCCUCUGUGCAAGGAUGACACACAAAUUUGUGAGCGUUCCAUAUUUUUU
ensembl:snRNA U6 U6 spliceosomal RNA